rnacentral:rRNA from 1 species
ACUCAAAGGAAUUGACGGGGGCCCGCACAAGCGGAGGAGCAUGUGGUUUAAUUCGAUGAUACGCGAGGAACCUUACCUAGACUUGAACGUAUUUGGAAUGAUGUAGAAAUAUAUCCGCCAGCAAUGGCCAUUUACGAGGUGCUGCAUGGUUGUCGUCAGCUCGUGCCGUGAGGUGUUAGGUUAAGUCCUGCAACGAGCGCAACCCUUACUGUUAGUUACCAGCAUGUAAUGAUGGGGACUCUAGCGGAACUGCCGGCGCAAGCCGUGAGGAAGGUGGGGAUGACGUCAAAUCAGCACGGCCCUUAUGUCUAGGGCGACACACGUGCUACAAUGGGUGGUACAGAGGGCAGCUACUGCGUGAGCAGAUGCUAAUCUCCAAAACCAUUCUCAGUUCGGAUCGGAGUCUGCAACUCGACUCCGUGAAGUUGGAUUCGCUAGUAAUCGCUCAUCAGCCAUGGAGCGGUGAAUACGUUCCCGGGCCUUGUACACACCGCCCGU